rnacentral:siRNA from 1 species
GAGGCCUAAUUGUCAAUUGAGC